ACGCUCGACACCUACGGGACAGCAGUGGGGAAUAUUGCACAAUGGGGGAAACCCGUGAUGCAGCGACGCCGCGUGAGCGAAGAAGUAUUUCGGUAUGUAAAGCUCUAUCAGCAGGGAAGAAGAAAGACGGUACCUGACUAAGAAGCCCCGGCCUAACUACGUGCCAGCAGCCGCGGUAAUCUGAGCGGGCUGGCAAGGC
rnacentral:rRNA from 1 species